rnacentral:rRNA from 2 species
GAUGAACGCUGGCGGCGUGCCUAAUACAUGCAAGUCGAGCGAAUGGAUUAAGAGCUUGCUCUUAUGAAGUUAGCGGCGGACGGGUGAGUAACACGUGGGUAACCUACCCAUAAGACUGGGAUAACUCCGGGAAACCGGGGCUAAUACCGGAUAAUAUUUUGAACUGCAUAGUUCGAAAUUGAAAGGCGGCUUCGGCUGUCACUUAUGGAUGGACCCGCGUCGCAUUAGCUAGUUGGUGAGGUAACGGCUCACCAAGGCGACGAUGCGUAGCCGACCUGAGAGGGUGAUCGGCCACACUGGGACUGAGACACGGCCCAGACUCCUACGGGAGGCAGCAGUAGGGAAUCUUCCGCAAUGGACGAAAGUCUGACGGAGCAACGCCGCGUGAGUGAUGAAGGCUUUCGGGUCGUAAAACUCUGUUGUUAGGGAAGAACAAGUGCUAGUUGAAUAAGCUGGCACCUUGACGGUACCUAACCAGAAAGCCACGGCUAACUACGUGCCAGCAGCCGCGGUAAUACGUAGGUGGCAAGCGUUAUCCGGAAUUAUUGGGCGUAAAGCGCGCGCAGGUGGUUUCUUAAGUCUGAUGUGAAAGCCCACGGCUCAACCGUGGAGGGUCAUUGGAAACUGGGAGACUUGAGUGCAGAAGAAGAAAGUGGAAUUCCAUGUG